CAGGUCAGGACGUGCCUAUGCCUCCACCAGGACAUGGAGGACCCGGACCCUUCGGCUUCGGGGGAGCACCCGGCCAGUUCGGUGGCGGUUUCCGCGGCCGCCGCUCUGACUUCGACAUGGCCGGGUUCCGCCAGGAGGCUCGCCGGGAGGCCCAGGGACCAUACCGUGGCCGGCGCGAGGCCUUCUUCGGCAUGCAGGACGAAUAGAAGGCUUCGACAACGCUCAACCAAUAGCAGCUGCGCAUCGCAGCCGCUAGUGGCUGCCGAACGCGCAGUGAAAUGUCAUCAUCGACGUCACCGGCCGGGACGCAGAAGUAAAAAUGAUCUCGCGUCGGCGAGCCAUCUGCGUCCCUGUUAUGUAACGGAAAAGGGGUAUCAAAUAAAUGAAAGCCACGAGAAAGAUGUCUUGUCUUGUUCUUGUUCUUGUUCUUACGUGAAAGGGUGCCCCAUUGUUCCCCGAUAGCAAAGGUUAAUAAAACCCAGCAGAUACUGAGGCCAAGGAAUGUAUAGGGGACGUUAAUUGUACUGUUUUGUGUGCCGUAGUAAUUGUCAUAUAGAUGUGAAGAAAGUAA